rnacentral:rRNA from 1 species
AGGGUGUAAACGCUGCAGACUUGGUGUUGGAAGCCCUUUGGGGGCAUUCAGUGCCGGAGAGAAGUUGUUAAGUCUGCUACUUGGGAGUACGUCCGCAAGGAUGAAACUUAAAGGAAUUGGCGGGGGAGCACCGCAACGGGAGGAGCGUGCGGUUUAAUUGGAUUCAACACCGUAAAACUCACCAGGGAAGACUGUUACAUGAAGGCCGAGAUGAAGACUCUGCUAGAUUUUCAGAGAGGUGGUGCAUGGCGUAGACGUCU